rnacentral:rRNA from 1 species
UACGUAGGGUGCGAGCGUUAAUCGGAAUUACUGGGCGUAAAGCGCACGUAGGCGGAUUUGUAAGUCAGGGGUGAAAUCCCGGGGCUCAACCUCGGAACUGCCUUUGAUACUGCAAGUCUCGAGUCCGAUAGAGGUGAGUGGAAUUCCUAGUGUAGAGGUGAAAUUCGUAGAUAUUAGGAAGAACACCAGUGGCGAAGGCGACUCACUGGCCCAUUACUGACGCUGAGGCGCGAAAGCGUGGGGAGCAAACAGG